rnacentral:rRNA from 1 species
GAUGAACGCUGGCGGCGUGCCUAAUACAUGCCAGUCGAGCGAACAGACGCGGAGCUUGCUCCUCUGACGUUAGCGGCGGACGGGUGAGUAACACGUGGAUAACCUACCUAUAAGACUGGGAUAACUUCGGGAAACCGGAGCUAAUCCCGGAUAAUCUAUUGAACCGCAUGGUUCAAUAGUGAAAGACGGUUUUGCUGUCACUUAUAGAUGGAUCCGCGCCGCAUUAGCUAGUUGGUAAGGUAACGGCUUACCAAGGCAACGAUGCGUAGCCGACCUGUGAGGGUGAUCGGCGACACGGGAACGGGGCCACGGUCCAGACUCCUACGGGAGGCAGCAGUAGGGAAUCUUCCGCAAUGGGCGAAAGCUUGACGGAGCAACGCCGCGUGAGUGAUGAAGGUGUUCGGAUCGUAAUACUGUGUUAUUAGGGAAGAACAAAUGUGUAAGUAACUAUGCACGUCUUGACGGUAACUAGUCAGAAAGCCACGGCUAACUACGUG